rnacentral:rRNA from 1 species
CAACCGGUCUGUCUCGCUGUCCGUCGAGACGACGAGGCGUGGCAGUGGCAUGAGCGCUUUGGGCACCUUCACUUUGAGGCCCUAAAGCGUCUAAGUGCCAAGGAGAUGGUGCGAGGCCUGCCAUGCCUCGACCAUGUGGAGCAGUUCUGCGACAUCUGCGUACUGACAAAGCAGAGACGACUCCCCUUUCCCCAACAGGCGAGUUUUCGGGCUAAGGAGAAGCUGGAGCUCGUGCACGGAGACCUGUGCGGCCCGGUGACGCCAGCCACACCAGGAGGUCGACGCUACUUCCUGCUGCUCGUCGACGAUCUCUCCCGCUACAUGUGGGUGAUGAUCCUCGGCAGUAAGGGAGAAGCAGCGGACGCCAUCAGGCGCGCGCAGGUUGGUGUGGAGGCGGAGAGCGGCCGCAAAUUGCGCGUGUUGCGCACUGACAACGGCGGCGAGUUCACGGCGGCUGAAUUCGCGUCGUACUGCGCCGAUGAGGGCAUCCAGCGCCACUACUCCGCGCCGUACAGCCCGCAGCAAAACGGCGUCGUCGAGCGGCGCAACCAGACGGUUGUGGGGAUGGCUCGGGCUCUCCUCAAGCAGAGAGGGAUGCCGGCUGUCUUCUGGGGAGAGGCGGUGCUAACGGCCGUCUACAUCCUCAACCGCUCUCCUACUAAGGCACUCGACGGCAGAACUCCGUACGAGGCCUGGCAUGGGCGGAAGCCGGCGGUCUCUCAUUUGCGGGUCUUUGGCUGCCUUGCGUUCGCCAAGGAGCUCGGCCACAUCGGCAAGCUCGACGACAGGAGCACUCCGGGAGUCUUCAUCGGCUACGCGGAGGGCUCAAAGGCCUACCGCAUCCUCGACCCAAAGACACAACGUGUGCGCACAGCGCGAGACGUCGUGUUCAACGAAGGGCGAGGGUGGCAAUGGGACAAGGCGGUGGACGACGGCUCGACGCCGACGUAUGACGACUUCAUUGUCGAGUACGCUCACUUCAAGGAAGCUGGGGGAGCAAGCAACUCCUCUUCACCGGGCACGUCUACCCCGGCCCCCAAAACUACAUCGACUCCGGCGCCUGCUACACCGACGACACCACAACCGGCGACGCCGCAUACUCCAGCCCCGGCGGUCGCCACUCCGGGCUCGUCUUCAUCAGCACCAGCUCACGCAGAGCACAACCCGAUGAAGUUCGCUUCCCCGCUCACUCACGACGAGGAGCGGGUCGACGCAUGGUAUGGAGGCGAACCGCUGCGGUACCGUACGAUGGAUAAUGUGCUCGGCGACCAGCCGGUGCCAGGACUGGUGCCACGUGACCUGGAGGCGCAGCUACAGCUCGUGUGUGAAGACGGCGAACCACGGUCCUUUGCAGAGGCCGAGAGAGACGCGGCAUGGCGCGCCGCGAUGAAGUUGGAGAUGGAUGCGGUCAAGCAAAACCGCACCUGGGAGCUUGCUGAUCUCCCUCGAGGUCACCGCGCAAUCACCCUUAAGUGGGUGUUCAAGCUGAAGAGGGAUGGAGCCGGCGCCAUCAUCAAGCACAAGGCUCGUUUGGUGGCCCGAGGCUUCUUGCAGCAGGAAGGAGUCGACUUCGACGACGCUUUCGCUCCCGUGGCACGGAUGGAGUCCGUGCGACUUCUCCUUGCGCUGGCUGCCCAGGAGGGCUGGCGUGUCCACCACAUGGACGUUAAGUCGGCAUUCCUCAAUGGCGACUUGAAGGAGGAAGUCUACGUGCAUCAGCCACCGGGGUUUACGAUUCCCGGCCAGGAGGGCAAGGUGCUCCGCCUGCGCAAGGCUCUCUAUGGCCUGCGGCAGGCACCCAGGGCGUGGAACGCCAAGCUGGACUCCACGCUGAAGAAGAUGGGUUUCGAGCAGAGCCCGCAUGAGGCUGCCGUCUACCGACGGGGGAGUGGAGGAAAUGCCCUGCUGGUGGGCGUCUACGUUGACGACCUGGUGAUCACCGGCACCAAAGAUGCAGAGGUGGCGGCGUUCAAGGAAGACAUGAAGGCCAUGUUCCAGAUGAGUGACCUGGGGCUCCUCUCCUAUCUAGGGAUUGAGGUGCACCAGGACCACUCCGGGAUCGCGCUUCGACAGUCCGCCUACGCCAAGCGCAUCGUUGAGCUAGCUGGGCUCACCGACUGCCAUCCAGCUCUCACUCCGAUGGAGGAGAGGCUGAAACUAAGUCGCGACAGCACGACGGAGGAAGUGGAUGCUACGCAGUACCGACGCCUUGUGGGGAGCCUUCGCUACCUCACUCACACACGGCCGGACUUGGCAUUCUCCGUCGGCUAUGUCAGUCGGUUCAUGGAGCGACCAACGUCGGAACACCAGCAGGCAGUGAAGAGGAUCGUCCGCUACAUAGCAGGGACCCUCGACCACGGCCUCCAUUACCCUAGGUGCCCUGGGGCGGCACACUUCGUCGGGUACAGCGACAGCGACCACGCCGGCGACAUCGACACCAGCAAGAGCACGAGCGGGAUCCUCCUCUUCCUCGGCAAGUGUCUCGUGAGCUGGCAAUCAGUCAAGCAGCAGGUGGUGGCCCUGUCCAGCUGUGAGGCUGAGUACAUAGCGGCCUCCACCGCCUGUACUCAGGCGCUCUGGCUUGCUCGACUGCUUGGUGAUCUUCUCGUUCAAGACACCAGAACGGUGCAACUCCUGGUGGACAGCAAGUCCGCCCUGGCCCUGGCAAAGAACCCCGUGUUCCACGAACGGAGGAGCAUCGAGGCGAGCUACAUCAACACCAAGGAUCAGCUCGCAGACCUGCUCACCAAGCCCCUUGGGAGGGUCAAGUUCCUCGAACUUUGCUCCAGGAUUGGGAUG